CCAUGCCGCGUGUGUGAAGAAGGUCUUCGGAUUGUAAAGCACUUUAAGUUGGGAGGAAGGGCAGUUACCUAAUACGUAUCUGUUUUGACGUUACCGACAGAAUAAGCACCGGCUAACUCUGUGCCAGCAGCCGCGGUAAUACAGAGGUGCAAGCGUUAAUCGGAAUACUGGGCGUAAAGCGCGCGUAGGUGGUUUGUUAAGUUGGAUGUGAAAUCCCCGGGCUCAACCUGGGAACUGCAUUCAAAACUGACUGACUAGAGUAUGGUAGAGGGUGGUGGAAUUUCCUGUGUAGCGGUGAAAUGCGUAGAUAUAGGAAGGAACACCAGUGGCGAAGGCGACCACCUGGACUAAUACUGACACUGAGGUGCGAAAGCGUGGGGAGCAGACAGGAUUAGAUACCCUGGUAGUCCACGCCGUAAACGAUGUCAACUAGCCGUUGGAAGCCUUGAGCUUUUAGUGGCGCAGCUAACGCAUUAAGUUGACCGCCUGGGGAGUACGGCCGCAAGGUUA
rnacentral:rRNA from 1 species